rnacentral:tRNA from 1 species
GGUCCUAUGGUGUAGUGGUUAAUACUCUGGACUCUGAAUCCAGUAGUAUGAGUUCAAAAUUCAAUAAAACCU